rnacentral:lncRNA from 1 species
CGACUCUGAAUCCAUUCAGCAUCAGUCAACUUGGGACUUCGAGGGUGCUAUUAUUCUUUUGUUUCUUUCUUUUGACUUUUCUUUCUUUUUGAUUCUUUUUUUUUCUUUUGAUUGAUUUUUUUUUACCCUCCUCUUUCCAUUUUUGUUUUUUGUUAAUGCCCUAGUUGGCUGUUAUGCUGAUUCUCGAGAUGCAGCUGAGUGAUCUUCUUUUCUUGCUCAAGAAAUCGGGAAAUACCGUCAGGAAUCCCUUCAACAUCAUCUUCUUCCGCUUCAAAUACAGGGAAUUCAAAAUUGGGAGAUGACGUCUGAUCAUUAUGUUCAAUGGGUUUAAGAAACAACCUGCAUAAUGAUUUUGAUAUGAAAAGCUUUUGAAAAU